GCCGAGGUGGCGAAAUGGUAUACGCGCAACGUUGAGGUCGUUGUGGGGGCAACCCUGUAAGAGUUCGAGUCUCUUUCUCGGCA
rnacentral:tRNA from 1 species